UUCAGUUUAGAAGACUACAUUUAUAUAUAUUUGUUCAUCUCUACAAUUUAUGAAAAUUAAACCUAAUGGUACUUGUAUUUUUGCCCUAAGUUGAAUCUAUACACAUGGUUAUUAAACCCAUUUAACACCAGGGUCCUCACUGCUUCAACUCCUUGCUCCAAUGAAGUAUCAAUCUGUCAAAAAAUAUAUAUUUCCAUCAAAAUUCAAUCAAGGAAGGAAUAAAAAGGAACAUAAUUUGCGACAAGUAAUAAAAUAAUCACACAAAUUCGAGGAUUUUACUCUUCGAACUGCAUUUUGUAGGUUAGAUCUGUCCAAAUUUGUUAGGAUCCAUCAAUAGUCUAUUAACUACUAUUAAGUUCAAUAAGCAAAAUAAGUUCUAAACUGUUCUCAAACUUGUAGAAUAUAUUAACUAUCAUAACAUGAGUGAAAGCGCAAAGUAUUUACAAAUAUAAGCAGAAACUUGUAAUGCAACAAUAAAAGAACUAAACCAAGUGAUGCUAGGUUGAAAG